rnacentral:rRNA from 1 species
AUGCAGCCUCGUGCCCCCGCGCGAUCGGAUCCCAUCCCCACCACCUACGGCCACCAUCUGUGGUACUGCAUCUGCGGCCACGACUUAUCUCCCUCGCAGGCGACUCUCUCCCUCUUCCACCGCCGAUUUGGCCAGCGAGCGGCGCCACCGAGGUCAGCGGCUUCGUCGAUGGUGGUGCUCUCUCACGCCCUCCGACGACCCCCUGAUCCCCUCCCUCAGGAUCCAGGAUGCAGCUCACUUAGAAAUCCUUUGGUGGCCCCGAACACUUCCUGCAGCUCUGUCCUGGCAUAUGUGCAGCUCUCUUCUUCUCUGUGUGCAAUGCAAAAAAUUUGGUUGAUGUGCAGCCGCCGAUGA